GACGAACGCUGGCGGCGUGCUUAACACAUGCAAGUCGAACGAUGAAGAAGAGAAACGCGAACUUCGGUUCAAAUUUCACUUCGGAUUAGUGGCAGACGGGUGAGUAACGCGUGAGCAACCUACCUCUUACAAAGGGAUAGCCUCGGGAAACCGUGAUUAAUACCAUAUGACACAUUCAUAAGGCAUCUUAAGAAUGUUAAAGCUACGGCGGUAAGAGAUGGGCUCGCGUCCCAUUAGCUAGUUGGUGAGGUAACGGCCCACCAAGGCGACGAUGGGUAACCGGGCUGAGAGGGUGAACGGUCACAUUGGAACUGAGACACGGUCCAAACUCCUACGGGAGGCAGCAGUGGGGAAUAUUGCACAAUGGAGGGAACUCUGAUGCAGCGACGCCGCGUGAGCGAUGAAGGAAUUCGUUUCGUAAAGCUCUGUUCUAUGGGAAGAAAAGGACUGUACCAAAGGAGAAAGCCCCGGCUAAAUACGUG
rnacentral:rRNA from 1 species